CCUUUUUUUUUCAUAUUAUUUUUUCCUCAUAUACAAAAUAGAUAAAUAAGUAUCUUUUUGUUUUUGUUUUUAUUAUUUUUUUAGAAUAGAUAAGCAUUUUUUUUGGAUAUUCUCAUGACAACCCACGAAAUAAAAAAGAUAAAACAUCUUUUUGUUUUUAUUGUAUUUUAACUUUAUAUUAUUCUUUUCUUAAAAAAACAUUAUAUUAUUCUCAUUUCUCUUUUUUAAGACUAUGUAUCCCACUCAAAUUUUACUCUCAUAUACAUAUAAAUAGACACUUACUUAAUACUCUAGGGCUCCGUUUGGUGAGCUGGACGUGAUUGAGUCUUAGGGAUAUGAUUGAGUUAGCAGGAACUUGUAACC
rnacentral:lncRNA from 1 species